UACGGAGGAUCCGAGCGUUAUCCGGAUUUAUUGGGUUUAAAGGGUGCUCAGGCGGGGGAUUAAGUCGGCGGUGAAAUUUUGCAGCUCAACUGUAAAAGUGCCUUCGAAACUGGUUUCCUUGAGUGUGGAUGAGGUAGGCGGAAUUUGUGGUGUAGCGGUGAAAUGCAUAGAUAUCACGAGGAACUCCGAUUGCGCAGGCAGCUUACUAAACCAUAACUGACGCUCAAGCACGAAGGCGUGGGGAUCAAACAGGAUUAGAUACCCUGGUAGUCCACGCAGUAAACGAUGAUUACUGGCUGUUUGCGAUAUAAUGUAAGCGGCUGAGCGAAAGCGUUAAGUAAUCCACCUGGGGAGUACGUUCGCAAGAAUGAAACUCAAAGGAAUUGACGGGGGCCCGCACAAGCGGAGGAACAUGUGGUUUAAUUCGAUGAUACGCGAGGAACCUUACCCGGGCUUGAAAUGCGUCUGACAGUCGGAGAGAUCCGAUCUCCCUUCGGGGCAGACGUGUAGGUGCUGCAUGGUU
rnacentral:rRNA from 1 species